rfam:Oryza brachyantha chromosome 10, whole genome shotgun sequence.
AAUAACCUCAUUUUUCGUUUUUUCGUGUCCAACGUGACCAUUCGUUUUAUUUGAAAUUUUUUUACGAUUAAUAUUUUUAUUAUUACUCGAUGAUAAAAUAUGAACAAUACUUUAUACGUGACUAAUUUUUUAGGUUUUUGUACAAAUUUUUCAAAUAAGACGGAUGGUUAAACGUUGGACACGAAAAA